UAUAUAAAAUUUAAUAAAAAGUUGUAUUUAAAUAUAUUGUUAAAAAAAAACUCCACGAAUAUCAAUAGAAGAUGGUCGAUUUAAAGAGCACGAUACGCGCUAGAACACUGAUUAAAUAUGACUGACUUAUAUAUCCGACGUAGAGUGCAAAUUAUUGCGGUGUACGACGCGAAAAGGAAGUUAAUAGUGAGAAUAGUUGAACUGUUGCUUCAGUAGUUUCAGUUAAAUCGAAGAGAACAGUAGGCGACACAAUGUCGUCGUUUCAGUGAAUAAAGAAAGGGUGCUUCCAUAUUCUUUUAAAGCGCUUGCGUUGAUUAAGCCAAUCGACAUUGCCAUGUAAACAUCAACAUAAUGUCUGCUAGAGGAUCAGUUAAUGGUCGUUCUCCAAGAAGCCUUUGUCUAUCCAAAUCACCUUGCAUUUGAGUGAAUGCAUGCUCGCCAAGACUUGAAGUAUCAAGCUGAUUUGACAAUUCAAUAGCUUCAUCACCUACAAGGAUUGCAUUCAAUUGAAGUCAGAAUAAGAUUUGAUGAAUAUAGUGAGUGGUCCUCCAAUAUCACUUGGCAGUUGCCAGCAAGCAUUUUCUUGUUCUUCAAUAUUCCUUGGAAAGUAAAGUGGCAGCAAAACUUGAUAAAUUCCCAAAUCACAGGGCUCAAGAACAAGAACAAUACACACGAUUGAAUCAUUGUAUUGUUCUAAAAAUCUACGUAUUGUACGAAGAGCAACAUGAGCUCCUGCAUCCGGUGGAUAAUUACGACGAACAGAAUUGAUCACAGGUAGUGCAAUGACAGAAAAAUGAAAUACCUUUAAUAUCAUUAUCAAUUUCGAUGUUAAGUGCUGGACCUGCUCGUGAAAAUAUUUUUUGGCACGUAAAGCUAUUGUCAUCCAUAGUUUCGUUGGUAGGGUUUACUACUGCAUCUACUUGUAGCACCGAUAUAUCUCCAGUCCUUUAAAAUAAAUCAUGAACUUUC